rnacentral:rRNA from 1 species
UACGGAAGGCAGCAGUGGGGAAUAUUGCACAAUGGGCGCAAGCCUGAUGCAGCCAUGCCGCGUGUAUGAAGAAGGCCUUCGGGUUGUAAAGUACUUUCAGUCGUGAGGAAGGUGUUAAGGUUAAUAACCUUAGCAAUUGACGUUAGCGACAGAAGAAGCACCGGCUAACUCCGUGCCAGCAGCCGCGGUAAUACGGAGGGUGCGAGCGUUAAUCGGAAUUACUGGGCGUAAAGGGCACGCAGGCGGUUAAUUAAGUUGGAUGUGAAAUCCCCGGGCUUAACCUGGGAAUGGCAUUCAAGACUGGUUAGCUAGAGUCUUGUAGAGGGGGUAGAAUUCCGAUGUGUAGCGGUGAAAUGCGUAGAGAUGUGGAGGAAUACCGGUGGCGAAGGCGGCCCCUGGCAAAGGACUGACGCUCAUGUGCGAAAGCGUGGGGAGCAAACAGGGAUUAGAUACC